rnacentral:rRNA from 1 species
CUAGGCCAGCCGCCUGACGGUGGUGGUUUAAGCAUGUAGGAAGGGUUCUUUGGCAAAUCCGGGAACCUGUUAAUUCCGAGAUGCGAUGACGAGACUCUUUUGAGUUGAAGUGGUUGAUGCCAUGCUUCCAGGAAAAGUCCCUAAGCUUCAGAUGUUGGUUAGCCGUACCCCAAACCAACACAGGUGGACGAGUAGAGAAUACUAAGGCGCUUGAGAGAACUUGGGUGAAGGAACUAGGCAAAAUAGCACCGUAACUUCGGGAGAAGGUGCGCCCUGGAUGGUGAUCGGAUUUACUCCGUAAGCUGUUUGGGGCCGCAGUGACCAGGUGGCUGCGACUGUUUACUAAAAACACAGCACUCUGCAAACUCGUAAGAGGACGUAUAGGGUGUGACGCCUGCCCGGUGCCGGAAGGUUAAUUGAUGGUGUUAGCACUUGUGCGAAGCUCUUGAUCGAAGCCCCGGUAAACGGCGGCCGUAACUAUAACGGUCCUAAGGUAGCGAAAUUCCUUGUCGGGUAAGUUCCGACCUGCACGAAUGGCGUAACGAUGGCCACGCUGUCUCCACCCAAGACUCAGUGAAAUUGAAAUCGCUGUUAAGAUGCAGUGUACCCACGGCCAGACGGAAAGACCCCGUGAACCUUUACUACAGCUUUACACUGAACUUUGAAUAUACUUGUGUAGGAUAGGUGGGAGGCUUUGAUACCAGGGCGCUAGCUCUGGUGGAGCCAUCCUUGAAAUACCACCCUGGUAUGUUUGGGGUUCUAACCCAGGUCCGUUAUCCGGAUCGGGGACAGUGUAUGGUGGGUAGUUUGACUGGGGCGGUCUCCUCCAAAAGAGUAACAGAGGAGCACAAAGGUACCCUCAGUGCGGUUGGAAAUCGUACGAUGCGUGUAAAGGCAUAAGGGUGCUUGACUGCGAGAGUGACAGCUCGAGCAGGUACGAAAGUAGGUCUUAGUGAUCCGGUGGUUCUUCAUGGAAGGGCCAUCGCUCAACGGAUAAAAGGUACUCCGGGGAUAACAGGCUGAUACCGCCCAAGAGUUCAUAUCGACGGCGGUGUUUGGCACCUCGAUGUCGGCUCAUCACAUCCUGGGGCUGUAGCCGGUCCCAAGGGUAUGGCUGUUCGCCAUUUAAAGUGGUACGUGAGCUGGGUUUAGAACGUCGUGAGACAGUUCGGUCCCUAUCUACCGUGGGCGUUGGAGACUUGAGAGAAGCUGCUUCUAGUACGAGAGGACCGAAGUGGACGUACCUCUGGUGUUCCGGUUGUCACGCCAGUGGCAUUGCCGGGUAGCUAUGUACGGUCGGGAUAACCGCUGAAAGCAUCUAAGCGGGAAGCCCAUCUCAAGAUA